rnacentral:rRNA from 1 species
AUUGAACGCUGGCGGCAGGCCUAACACAUGCAAGUCGAGCGAGUGGCGGAAGGGUGAGUAAUGACUGGGAAACUGCGCGAUGGAGGGGGAUAACUACUGGAAACGGUAGCUAAUACCGCAUACCAUCGGAUGUGCCCAGAUGGGAUUGGAUAGUAGGUGGGGUAACGGCGCACCAAGGCGACGAUCCCUAACUGGUCUGAGAGGAUGACCAGCCACACUGGAACUGAGACACGGUCCAGACUCCUACGGGAGGCCGCAGUGGGGAAUAGGGCACAAUGGGCGCAAGCCUGAUGCAGCCAUGCCGCGUGGAUGAAGAAGGCCUUCGGAUUGUAAAGUACUUUCAGGGAGGAGGCGUUACUCGCAGAAGAAGCACCGGCUAACUCCGUGCCAGCAGCCGCGGUAAUAC